rnacentral:rRNA from 1 species
CCUACGGGGGGCUGCAGUGAGGAAUAUUGGUCAAUGGACGAGAGUCUGAACCAGCCAAGUAGCGUGAAGGAUGACGGCCCUAUGGGUUGUAAACUUCUUUUAUAAAGGAAUAAAACGAGGCACGUGUGCCUUUUUGCAUGUACGUUAUGAAUAAGGAUCGGCUAACUCCGUGCCAGCAGCCGCGGUAAUACGGAGGUUCCGAGCGUUAUCCGGAUUUAUUGGGUUUAAAGGGAGCGUAGAUGGGUUGUUAAGUCAGUUGUGAAAGGUUGCGGCUCACCCGUCAAAUUGCCGUUGAUACUGGCAGUCUUGAGUACAGUUGAGGUAGGCGGACUUCGUUGUGUAGCCGUGACAUGCUU